CACAAUACCGGCCAUGUGGCACAUGACCCAAACUGGCCAAUCAGAUUCUCUCCCAUGAUUUCACCCAGAGACCAACACUUUAUAACUGGAACACUCAAUCUCAGCUCCCCAAACAGACAUAUGCCAAAGGAGUUUCUGGGCCUGAGAACCAUGUUGCUGCCUGAAUUCCUGACCUUUCCGAUACUUACCUGUUCAGUUCUUCUACUCUGUUUACUCCUAAAAUCUUUCCGAUGAUGAAACCAAGGCCUGGAAAUAUUAAGUAACAAAGUCACACAACUCCAAAUGGCAGGGCUGAGAUCUGAAUCUAGACGGCUACAUUCAGAACCUGCCAGGAAAACCUCUAAACUCUAUACCUCUGAUGAUGCAUCUGACAAUAAGACUAUAUUACAGGGGAUAGAAGGGAGAUGUCGUUGUGUGCUGAGGUGGUCAGAGAAAGUUUUCUGGAGGCUGUGGGCUCUAUGCGACCCUGAAGAAAGGACAAGGUGACCACAGAGCAGCUGGCAGGAACAGCAGGAGCUGUUCCCAGGUUUCACAGAAUCACUUACUUCUACUCCCCUUUGAGAGUCGAGGAAAGCUGGAGGAACUCUUAACCUAAAGAUAAAGCAGUAUCCAUAGAAAUUAUAGUCUGAGAAAUUCAUCUGCCCUAAAAAUCCAACAUGUGGACUUGCCACAUCUGCUGAGCUCUAUGAGGUAGUGCUUACGAACACGUGUGCUGGAGCCAGAUGCCUGGAUCAGGACACUAGGUCUGCUUCUUGCUGUGUAGCUUUCCUGUGCCUCUAUUUCCCCAUCAGAUGGUAACAGUAACUUGCCAUGGAAUUGCGUACUGGCUAAAUAACUUUAAAUGUUUAAACUGCUUACAACGGUCUAAGGUACACUGAGCAGUGAAUAAUCACUAGCCAGUAGUCUGGGGUUUCCACCAAAUAACUCAGCCUGCUGAAGCGUGCACUAUUGUGCUGUGUUUCCACCACCGAGCAAUGUUACUAGUCUCUGCUCUCAUGGAGCUUACCUUCUCCUGGAGCAAAAAUAGUCUAGCCCAACAUAAAGAUUGCAAUACUUUUUUAAGACAGUAGUGGGCCGAUGGGAACAGUUGUGUUUCAAAACCAUUCACACUUUUCCGGUGAAAGUAAUUUUCCUCGUGGUGUCAUGGGAUGGAGAUCUUAGCCAAUCAAAGCAUUAUGCCUUAGCCACAGGGAUUAGUUGAGGCCGGGAUACAUCCCCUCAGCACCAGAGAGGCUUUUGCACUGAGGCUCCUAAUGGUUAGAACCUGUGAGCAAAGAGCCAUGGGGCAGAGGACUUGGCCUGAGAAUAAGCCACUGCGGUUGAGGGUGGAGCCAAGA